rnacentral:rRNA from 1 species
CAGACAUCGGGUGCUAACGUCCGGUGUCAAGAGGGAAACAACCCAGACCGCCAGCUAAGGUCCCCAAAUAUGGCUAAGUGGGAAACGAAGUGGGAAGGCUAAAACAGUCAGGAGGUUGGCUUAGAAGCAGCCACCCUUUAAAGAAAGCGUAAUAGCUCACUGAUCGAGUCGUCCUGCGCGGAAGAUGUAACGGGGCUAAGCCAUAUACCGAAGCUGCGGAUGCGAGCUUGCUCGCAUGGUAGGAGAGCGUUCCGUAAGCCUGCGAAGGUGCCUUGUAAAGGGUGCUGGAGGUAUCGGAAGUGCGAAUGCUGACAUGAGUAGCGAUAAAGGGGGUGAAAGGCCCCCUCGCCGUAAGCCCAAGGUUUCCUACGCAACGUUCAUCGGCGUAGGGUGAGUCGGCCCCUAAGGCGAGGCAGAAAUGCGUAGCUGAUGGGAAGCAGGUCAAUAUUCCUGCAC